rnacentral:rRNA from 1 species
UUGAAAGUAAAGUCGUACCAAGGUUUCCGUAGGUGACCCUGCGGAAGGAUCAUUAAUGAAUUUGGAGGCUGUCGCUGGCUAGGUGAUUCUAGCAUGUGCA